UAGCAUCUCUCUAUCAUGCCAGUCUUUUUGUUGUCGCACCUUUGUUGUAAUGCCUUUCCCAUUGUAUUGAUCUAACUGCUACAGGCUGCUAUUAAGGAUUGAUCUAACCAGAGCAAAGACUUAAGGUCCAUUUAAUCUUAAUGGGGAGUGCGAGGACCAGGCCACAAGACUUCAUGAAUUGAAAAUGCUUGGAAGUUCUGUACUGCUUUUUGCCAAAAGUUGGGUGAAAGUGGUGUAUCCUGAAGAGUUGCAUUGGGCUAACUGAAUGAGGUUUUCAUGACUGUUCUGUUGCUGUAACCACCAUGGAUGUGAAUGCUGUGGUGAUAAAGGCUUGCCGUUUUCUCAUUCUGGAUUCCUCAAAUCCAAGAGCUACUCAGCAGUUUCCAAGGCAACCACCUGUGGAAUAAUUAAAAAGGAUGAAGUGUUGGUGUGCCAGAUGCACGAAAUUCUUGCCUGGAGAGAGCACUUCGUUUUCAGCUGUUUUGAAUGUGAUUCUGCCAGCACAGUUCAGAGGAAGAAAUGAUGGCAGAGUUGUCAUACAAGCAUCCAGGGACAAUUCAAAAAGUGCUGAUCUUCUGUGAGUGCCUUCCCAGUGCCAAAGAAAGAACAUGUUUUUGAUGGAAAGCCUACUUUUAAAUGAGUACAAACAGAAAGUGUCACUCCACAUGGGAGGGGUCAGGAAUACUUGAAUCUUCAGCUAGAAGAUCUUCUGCAGCCUGUUUAUCAGAUUGAGGACAACCCUUUCUCAUUCAUAAUGGAUUGUUCAGAAAAAAAAGACAAUUGGACGUGGUAGAAGCUGUUUUUUUCCUAAGCGUGGCCCAAGGACAGCUGCAUCAGUACAACUGGAGGUGAUAUGAACUGCAGCAUCAGAGGCACAGCAAGCACUGGAGGAUGUCCCAAUGUUAAGUGGUCUUGCUGUCAGCAAAAACCUGCUCUGGUACUGUAUCCCAGUUGGACGGGUUUCACUGGAUGUAGAAAUAUUUAUUGAACUGUUCAUUUGUUUGUUUGUUUUUAAGGAUUAAUAUCUUGGGGUUUUGUGUUGUUUGGAUUUUUUUUUUUUUUUGCUUGAGAUAAACCAUCUAUCUGAGAAAUAAGUCAGCUUUGUGGACAGCCAGUGGAUGUCAAUAAAGUCUUGGCAAACACAGUAGGUAUUUAUUCAGCCUUGCAAAUUAGAAACAUUUCUCCUGCUUGUUUUAUGAAGGGAACAAAAAAAGAUGAAUUACAUAGCGGAUGAGCUCUCUUGAUAGUUGGAAUUCGUUUGUCUGGUGGUGAAAACGCUGGGGGAUUUAUGGUGCAGAAAAAUAAAAGAUGAAACAGCUUUUCACCAAUAGCAGUGCUUUAAGUUCUCAUUGAAAAUUACUGGGGAAAAAACCCUUUAAAGACAUCUGUAGCUGACUUCACAGUCUCAAUUACUGUCUUGGUAGGCAGUUCUUCCCUUCCUCACUGCAGUAAGUAUUAAUUGUUUUUUCAGCUGGCAAACAAUUCCUUUAUGGUUCCUUGGUCUUAUUGCCGUGGGGUAUCUGCAGCAACUCAUAAGUGAGAUACAUGGCCAAGUGUUGAGUAGGAAAUUCACACUCCUGCUUCCCAUGCUAUAGCCGCUCUGUUAACAGAGGCUUUCUGCAAAGUUAUCAAUCUGUCAUCUUCUCUUGGCUUCACAUUUUAUUAAAAAAAGGAAUUUGAAAAGUUACAGUAAGUUGAGCAAUUUGUCAGACGUAACUAACUUGAAGGCUAUUGUCUCCAAAUUACAGGCUGACUCGGUCUUGCAGCCUGUCGUGGAUGGAUCAUAAAAUUGUCAUAGAUAAAAGCUUUAACAAAAUCUGCUUAGGCAGCUCCUGUGAUGGCAGAACAUGGAAAGGAAGCAAUACACUGAAAGACCUGGUAAGCCUUUGGCUGCAGCUAAACCACUCGUAAGUCACUAGAAUUAUUCAGCAGCAAAACAAAACCAGAGAAAACUCCAAACUUGCAGUGGUUUAAUCUCUGACGUAGCUUCACUCGUGUAAGUAAUCUCACUGAUGUCAGAUAAGGCCUUGUGAAUUCUGUAAUACUGAAGAUCAAACUGCUGAUGCUUUAUUUCCUUUGAACGGGUACAGAAUAGUGUUUAUUUGUAACUACAGAAACAAUGAAACAAGAAGCUUGUCCAUUUCCAGUUUUUAUGUAAGUCUGUUAACUGAGCUGAGUUUGCUCUCUAUGUUUCCCAAGUUCCUGCUUUUCUACUAAGUAGAAUCAUCAGCAUGAAGGUGUUGUCUCCUCUGCUCCUCUUCUUCCUCUCCAGUUAAACAAAGAAAUUAUUGCUAGCAAAUGUGGAAGGGACAGAGAGGUCCAAGAUCCAAAGGUUCAUUAAAAAUGUGCAGGGUCUGAUAGUUGAAGGAGCUAAUUAGGAGGCGUCUUGGAGAAGUAGCUUAGUUCUCUAUCUGUAGUUCAUUUGUUCUUCCAGUUUAGAAGAACAGUUUACAGCCCUAAUGCAGGAGUGCUUCUCGCUGUCUGUGCUCUGGAACUGCACAUUGUUCUUACGUUUUUUGAAAGACACUUUCUUCAAAAGUACAGAUGUGUUCAGUGGAAGAGUCUGUCCUUUGGUUAGUCAUACUGAGACAUUGUGGUCUGCACCCGUUGUAGGAGUAGCAAUAAAUGCACAUACACACAUGCUGAACCUCAGCUGCAAAUCCAUUGUACAUGGCACGUGUAACUGUGCAUGGACACACACUGCAACAGUUCAGCCUUGCCUCUGACCAGGGAAGAUAACAGUUGUGAAGCCUUACUGCCUCCUUGUCUCACAGAUUGAUGCCAAAUUUGUUGGAUUUUCUCUUGAAGAUUUUCUGGGAGGGGAGUGCUUAAGCUGUCCUGCCAACAGAUAUUCCCUGGGAACUGCCUAUGCUCAUUUCAGAUUUCUCUCUUCCAUCUUCAGCCAUGUAGAAGCUCAGUUUCUAGGCUCAGCUAGUUGUUUAGCUUGUCGCUGUGGUAAAUGAAGAGUUACACACCUCUGGAGGUAAUUAACACAUGGAAAUAGAUGUAAUUAAUUACAUUUCUGACAUGAUUUCCUGCUGCCUGAAGAGAACAAUUUUAACACUACUUGGCUGUCCUCAGGAGACUGCGGAUGGGUUCAUCUCGGGUGAUGUUUGUAAUCAGCUGAAGUCAGCUUGCACAGAGCUGCCAGCAGCAGGCACAGAAUGUGCAGGUAUGACACUGCAGAAGGGAACAAGUACAGCCCUUAACUUCUUGAAUUAUACUGCAGCAGGGCAAAGUUUGAGGCUUUUUCAUGCCUUGAGGAAAUUGUCCACAGUGUUAAAGCAUCAGCAUUUCCUGCGCCCGCCAGAACAGUGUUGUUUUACAGCCACACAGGGCACAGCGGUUGCCUUCUGUCAUCAGAACACGCUGUGCUGUUGUGCUGCUGCUGCUUCGGGUAAUUUGUUCUCGCUGAAGCUCUGUGAUGUGCUUAUGGAGUGCUUCGCAGAAUGUCACCGUGAGCGUGGCUGUGCCUCAUCUGUGCAAACACUGGGAGUUGUUUGACUUGAUUUCGUAGACUCGACUUGGGUAUGUUUGUUCUGCCAGCUGAAAUGAGACAUUGAAGACAGGUUAUAAAAAAUACAUCUGUUUGAAAAGAUUAAAUGGUUUAAAACACACUUGAGUAAUAGAGUUCCAAGAAAAAUCCUUGUGUCAGACUUCCUAGAAAUUGUGGUGGAACCAGGUGGUAAGUGCCAGCACUGAGCAGUUAAUUAAUGCAGCCCUCACAUUAGGUUUGGGCACACACCUCUAGCGUUACAAAUACCCACAAACGGUGGACCGGUCCAUCUUUGGGACGAGUCAGCAUGCAGGGACUGAUACAUAGACUGUUUCACACGCUGUUAUUUCUGCUACUGCUGCUAAAAAUAAUGUGUUUCAGCACUGAGCAGGAGGCAUUUCGCAUGGUGUUUUGCUGUCACUAGAGGGAGUUUGCAGCAGUGCUUCUCUUACUGACGUCCUCGGUGAUCUCGGUGCUGUGGGGAGACCUCGGCAGACACUGUGCCAGGACGACGGCAGUUCUGAAAGUAGGAUGAGGGUCCUUCUUCCUUCGGUACGCCCUGGUACGUGUUGUAAUCUGGAUUAACAACAUUCUUCAGGGUAAUAGUGCUGUAAGCAGUUCUGUUUCUGUUGGUAGCGCUGUAAUAGAAAACAAAUGAGCAUUCGGUGACUCAAAGCAGAAUCAGGAAGUAAGAAAAAAGCAUUGAUUAUUUAAUAGGAAAAAACAAAGAUGGAAAAAACCACCAUGGAUAGAUACUCUUCUG